rnacentral:rRNA from 1 species
GACGAACGCUGGCGGCGUGCUUAACACAUGCAAGUCGAGCGGUAAGGCCCUUUCGGGGGUACACGAGCGGCGAACGGGUGAGUAACACGUGGGUGACCUGCCCUCAGCUCUGGGAUAAGCCUGGGAAACCGGGUCUAAUACCGGAUAUGACUCCAUGACGCAUGUUGUGGGGUGGAAAGCCUCGUGCGGCUGAGGAUGGGCCCGCGGCCUAUCAGCUUGUUGGUGGGGUGANGGCCUACCAAGGCGACGACGGGUGGCCGGCCUGAGAGGGCGACCGGCCACACUGGGACUGAGACACGGCCCAGACUCCUACGGGAGGCAGCAGUGGGGAAUAUUGGACAAUGGGGGCAACCCUGAUCCAGCAAUGCCGCGUGAGUGAUGAAGGCC